rnacentral:rRNA from 1 species
AACGCGAAGAACCUUACCUGGGUUUGACAUGGCGGCUAAAGCCUCAGAGAUGGGGUGUCCUUCGGGGGCCGUCACAGGUGGUGCAUGGCUGUCGUCAGCUCGUGUCGUGAGAUGUUGGGUUAAGUCCCGCAACGAGCGCAACCCUCGUUCCAUGUUGCCAGCGGGUAAUGCCGGGGACUCAUGGGAGACUGCCGGGGUCAACUCGGAGGAAGGUGGGGAUGACGUCAAGUCAUCAUGCCCCUUAUGUCCAGGGCUACACACGUGCUACAAUGGUCGGUACAAACGGUCGCGAACCUGCGAAGGGGAGCUAAUCCGAAAAAACCGGCCUCAGUACGGAUAAGAGUCUGCAACUCGACUCUUUGAAGUCGGAAUCGCUAGUAAUCGCUGAUCAGCAGGCAGCGGUGAAUACGUUCCCGGGUCUUGUACACACCGCCU